AGCGUAGACGGAGUGGCAAGUCUGAUGUGAAAACCCGGGGCUCAACCCCGGGACUGCAUUGGAAACUGUCAAUCUGGAGUACCGGAGAGGUAAGCGGAAUUCCUAGUGUAGCGGUGAAAUGCGUAGAUAUUAGGAGGAACACCAGUGGCGAAGGCGGCUUACUGGACGGUAACUGACGUUGAGGCUUGAAAGCGUGGGGAGCAAACG
rnacentral:rRNA from 1 species